GAUGAACGCUGGCGGCGUGCCUAAUACAUGCAAGUCGAGCGAACAGACGAGGAGCUUGCUCCUCUGACGUUAGCGGCGGACGGGUGAGUAACACGUGGAUAACCUACCUAUAAGACUGGGAUAACUUCGGGAAACCGGAGCUAAUACCGGAUAAUAUAUUGAACCGCAUGGUUCAAUAGUGAAAGACGGUUUUGCUGUCACUUAUAGAUGGAUCCGCGCCGCAUUAGCUAGUUGGUAAGGUAACGGCUUACCAAGGCAACGAUGCGUAGCCGACCUGAGAGGGUGAUCGGCCACACUGGAACGGAGACACGGUCCAGACUCCUACGGGAGGCAGAAGUAGGGAAUCUUCCGCAAUGGGCGAAAGCCUGACGGAGAAACGCCGCGUGAGUGAUGAAGGUCUUCGGAUCGUAAAACUCUGUUAUUAGGGAAGAACAAAUGUGUAAGUAACUAUGCACGUCUUGACGGUACCUAAUCAGAAAGCCACGGCAAACUACGUG
rnacentral:rRNA from 1 species